rnacentral:rRNA from 1 species
UACGUAGGGCGCAAGCGUUAUCCGGAAUUAUUGGGCGUAAAGAGCUCGUAGGUGGUUUGUCGCGUUGUUCGUGAAAUCUCACGGCUUAACUGUGAGCGUGCGGGCGAUACGGGCAGACUAGAGUACUGCAGGGGAGACUGGAAUUCCUGGUGUAGCGGUGGAAUGCGCAGAUAUCAGGAGGAACACCGGUGGCGAAGGCGGGUCUCUGGGCAGUAACUGACGCUGAGGAGCGAAAGCGUGGGGAGCGAACAGG